UUCCAAACAAAACUCAAAAUAAGGAAGUCAGUUCAGCUUUUCACCGUCCUACCAACCCCAAAAGCCCAGUCAAAAAAGAAAAGAAAUGAUAACGAAAAGAGCACAGUGAAGUCACCCGGCUUUAGCCGACUCACGGUUCAGGGGAAGUGUGGAAACGUGCGUUGUCCGGAGUUGUAAACACGGACGGUUCGGUGUGUUCGUGGAGAUAAGAAGAGAGGCUGCAGUAUCCACGGCUCGAGGGCAACCAAGGUGGAUGUUAACGACGCGGACUGAAACGCGCGCUGAUGGCCAAGGAUAGGCUUACUACGGACAUGGAUGACUCACGAGGGUUUCUCUCCUGCUGUUCACCUGCCGGCGACUCCCGCCAUACUGAAUUAAAUCUCCUGGUAGGAAAAACAGAAGAGGCUGGACUCCGAGGGAGUGGCAACGUGGAGCUAACUCACUGGCUGACUGGACUAGUGGGGUGUGGAAAUAAUGUAUCUUCGUGUAGCCUCCAACAGCGUGGCAUCAGCCACCUUGGCUUUCUUCCAAGAACCUGUUAAGAAGUUUUGUUUUCCUCUCAGAUGGAGAAAAGGAGAGAGGAUCAGGGGUUGGAAAACGUGAAUGUUGGAUGCUUCAUGUUUACAGUCAAUGGCACUGGAAGGAGCCGGGAAGUGUUCACAACCAACGGCUUGAACGGACAGAAUAGAUACUGCUAGUUGAAAGCUGCCACCUCUCUAAUGCCAUGUUGUGGUAGUAUGUUAGCAUACAACUGUUGUUGAGCAGGAAUACUAUUAUUUGCAGUAUUUAUGGUAGUCACAUUUUCAUAUGGUGUAAUAACAUACAGAAUGUAUGCAACAAAAUGUAAUUUUAAAGACAGUGAGUUAUGCAUAAACACACAAUAAAGAGGAAAUUCAAAGGCCAUUUUAACCAUUAGGUCAGUUGGACUAUGUUUGAAAAAUAAAUCUGUUUUUGUGCACUUGUUGUGGAUAAAACCUUUUCUUAAAAGAAACAUUAAUGAUGGUACCCAUUAAUUGUUUAUUUGGGAGAUGUGAGAAGUUGAGUGGAAGUUCAUUUUUAUAUUAAUUUUUUAUAUCAAGUUAAAAUGGUUUUCAGGGUGUUUGUUCCAGAUAUAUGGAGCAUAAAAACAGCACUGCUUCUCCAUGUUUAUUUUUUGACUCUGGGAAGAGAAAGCAGACCUGUCCCAGAUGACCUGAGAGGUCUGGAUGGUUCAUAAGGUAACAGCAGAUCAGAAACCCUAAACCAUUUAGUGCUUUACUGAAAUGCAUGGACUGAAAUCCAUUUUUUCCGUAUCUUGCUGAGACAUAAGUCCUUUAAUCCUUGAUAUAUUCUUCAGGUGAUAGUAGACUGACUUUGUAAUUGUCUUAAUGUGGCUGUUGAAAUUCAGGUCUGAGUCCAUGACCGAGAUUUCUGGUUGGUGUGUGAUUUUUAACAUUAUUGAUUGAAACUGAGCACUGACUUUUAAUAGUUCUGCCUUGGCUCCAAAUUAAAUUACUUCAGUUUUGUCUUUGUUUA